AUUCCAGCUCCAAUAGCGUAUAUUAAAGUUGUUGCAGUUAAAAAGCUCGUAGUUGGAUUUGUGGUUGGGUCCGUCGGUCCGGCACAUUGUGCGGGUACUUGAUGGACUCGUCCAUCCUUGGGUGGAAUCUGUGUGGCAUUAAGUUGUCGUGCAGGGGAUGCCCAUCGUUUACUGUGAAAAAAUUAGAGUGUUCAAAGCAGGCUUAUGCCGUUGAAUAUAUUAGCAUGGAAUAAUGAGAUAGGACCUUGGUACUAUUUUGUUGGUUUGCGCACCGAGGUAAUGAUUAAUAGGGACAGUUGGGGGUAUUCGUAUUCCAUUGUCAGAGGUGAAAUUCUUGGAUUUUUGGAAGACGAACUACUGCGAAAGCAUUUACCAAGGAUGUUUUCAUCA
rnacentral:rRNA from 1 species